rnacentral:rRNA from 1 species
UACGGAGGGUGCAAACGUUGCUCGGAAUUAUUGGGCGUAAAGCGCACGUAGGCGGUUUGUUAAGUCGGGUGUGAAAGCCCUGGGCUCAACCCAGGAAGUGCAUUCGAAACUGGCAAGCUUGAAUAUGGAAGAGGGUCGCGGAAUUCCCGGUGUAGAGGUGAAAUUCGUAGAUAUCGGGAGGAACACCAGUGGCGAAGGCGACUACCUGGCCUGUUCUUGACGCUGAGGCGCGAAAGCUAGGGGAGCAAACGGG